GAUGAAGAACGUAGCGAAAUGCGAUAAGUAAUGUGAAUUGCAGAAUUCAGUGAAUCAUCGAAUCUUUGAACGCACCUUGCGCCCUUUGGCUAUUCCGAAGGGCAUGCCUGUUUGAGUAUCGUGAACACCUCAACUCUCAUGGUUUGCCAUGAUGAGCUUGGACUUUGGGGGUUUUGCUGGCCUUUGGUCGGCUCCUCUCAAACGGAUCAGCUUUCCAGUGUUUGGUGGCGUCACGGGUGUGAUAACUAUCUACGCCUGUGGUUUUCUGCCAGAUAACCUUCAGCGAUGGAGGUUCGCUGGGGCUCAUAAAUGUCUCUCUUCAGUGGAGACAGCUUUUUGGACGUUUGAUCUCAAAUCAGGUAGGACUACCCGCUGAACUUAAGCAUAUAAAUAAGCGGAGGA
rnacentral:misc_RNA from 1 species